CGCUAUCACUCCUACGGGAGGCAGCAGUGGGGAAUAUUGCACAAGUGGGGGAAACCCUGAUGCAGCCAUGCCGCGUGUGUGAAGAAGGCCUUCGGGUUGUAAAGCACUUUCAGUAGGGAGGAAGGUAGUGUAGUUAACACCUGCAUUAUUUGACGUUACCUACAGAAGAAGCACCGGCUAACUCCGUGCCAGCAGCCGCGGUAAUACGGAGGGUGCGAGCGUUAAUCGGAAUUACUGGGCGUAAAGCGCAUGCAGGCGGCCUGUUAAGUCAGAUGUGAAAGCCCGGGGCUUAACCUCGGAAUUGCAUUUGAAACUGGCAGGCUAGAGUCUUGUAGAGGGGGUAGAAUUUCAGGUGUAGCGGUGAAAUGCGUAGAGAUCUGAAGGAAUACCAGUGGCGAAGGCGGCCCCCUGGACAAAGACUGACGCUCAGAUGCGAAAGCGUGGGGAGCAAACAGGAUUAGAUACCCUGGUAG
rnacentral:rRNA from 1 species